rnacentral:rRNA from 1 species
AGCUCCAAUAGCGUAUAUUAAAGUUGUUGCAGUUAAAAAGCUCGUAGUUGAAGUUCUGGCUGUUCAGGUCCUCAGCCACUUAGGCGGGGAUUCUGACAGUCAUCCGCUUGCAAGCAUAUGUUCGACCUUAAACAGUUGGCUAUGUGAGUAAGCAAUUUACCUUGAGAAAAACAGAGUGUUCCAGGCAGGUUUGUCCGGGAUGCGUUAGCAUGGAAUAAUAGAACAUGACUGAAGUCUAUUUAUUGGUUUAAGGCUUUAGUAAUGAUUAAUAGGAACAGUCGGGGGCAUUCGUACUCAGCAGUCAGAGGUGAAAUUCUAAGAUUUGCUGAAGACGAACUAAUGCGAAAGCAUUUGCCAAGGAUGUUUUCA